AGUAACACGUGGGUGAUCUGCCCUGCACUUCGGGAUAAGCCUGGGAAACUGGGUCUAAUACCGGAUAUGACCAUGGGAUGCAUGUCUUGUGGUGGAAAGCUUCUGCGGUGUGGGAUGGGCCCGCGGCCUAUCAGCUUGUUGGUGGGGUUAAGGCCUACCAAGGCGACGACGGGUAGCCGGCCUGAGAGGGCGACCGGCCACACUGGGACUGAGACACGGCCCAG
rnacentral:rRNA from 1 species